GACGAACGCUGGCGGCGUGCUUAACACAUGCAAGUCGUACGGUAAGGCCCUUUCGGGGGUACACGAGUGGCGAACGGGGGCGUAACACGUGAGUAACCUGCCCACAACUUUGUGUUAACGCUAGGAAACUGGGGCUAAUACUGGAUAUAUGCCCCUGCUGCAUGGUGGGGGUUGGGAAGCUCCUGCGGUCGUGGAUGGACUCGCGGCCUAUCAGCUUGUUGGUGGGGUAGUGGCCUACCAAGGCGGCGACGGGUAGCCGGCCUGAGAGGGUGAGCGGCCACAUUGGGACUGAGAUACGGCCCCGACUCCUACGGGAGGCAGCAGUGGGGAAUAUUGCACCAUGGGCGCAAGCCUGAUGCAGAAACGCCGCGUGCGGGAUGGCGGCCUUCGGGUUGUAAACCGCUUUCAGCAGGGACGAAGCUUUUUGUGACGGUACCUGCAGAAGAAGCACCGGCUAACUACGUG
rnacentral:rRNA from 1 species